CAGAAGAGGGAUGAGAGUAAUUUAUCAGUUUGCACACAUAUUUUAUAUCUCUCCCUCUGUGAACUCUUUGAGUGUAGCCCCUAGAGUACAAAGUAUUACAGGAGUGAUGAAAGAAAAAAGAGCUUUCAGGUCUUACGAAAAUCUACCCUUCUGUUGGAAAAAGAAAAGAAAGGAUAACAAUGAUUUAAAAAGACCUGAAAUAUACCUAAUUACUGGGAAUGCUUUUAAUAACCUUGCACUGCCGCUCUUUAUACAACAAUCUAAGACUGUAGAGCAGAAUUAGCUCCACUCCAAAAUAAAUUCUCAACAGAAAAUUUAUACACAUAUACACACAUUUUUUUUUAAUAAAUAAAUGAAUUUAAAUGCAUUUUUUUAUUCUUGUUUUUCAAAAUUCAGUUGCAUUUUCUGCAUCGAAGCCUAUGUUAAUGUUUCUUAUAUGAAAGGUUUUGAAAAUAAAAAUUAGACAUUAAACUAUCAAAGCGAUGACCCAAGAAUAUAAUAAUAUUGUACGUCUGUAAAUGUUUCACGAAUCUGAAAGUGUCAGUGGUGUCACAAACACCAAUGAUGGUUGCCGUAUUGGAAGUGCUGGCCCAACUUAACCUUGGAUCAAUUUAGACCCUGGAGCUGAGAUGGGCUCCUGUUACCUGACAGUCAACUCAGCCUUGCAAACUGUGCUAGUAUUAAAAGUACAGUGCGUGCAAAUAAAUAAAGGAGCAGCAUGUCUACAACAUUUGUUUAAAACAGGAGUUAAACAUGUUUAUAUUUGCUGUAAAAAUAGAAAUCAUAAUAGAAAAAUAAAGGAGUAUUCUUGCAUUUUGCAGCUGGUUGCUUAUCGUCUCUUUCAACACCAAAUUUUACUUCUUAACAAAACUGAAAAGGUGUUUAAACUUCAACAAGGCAUUGUGUUAAAUGUAGUUAAAUAUGGCAUGCAGCGGUACAAGUUGGCCUUUGCAUUGGGAGAAAACAGAGACGUCAGUGCUGUGUUAAAAAAAUCUGGCCAUGAAGAGAAGAGAGUCCUGCUUGGGGAGGUGACCUGUUUAGAAAAUGACCCAUGACUUGAUGUGAGUUUGAAUCAAAGGCCUGUUUAUCCGAGCAUGCACCUCUCCAUUUAUCCUCAUUUUCUCUUGAUCUCUCUUGGCCUCACUUUUACUUCUUUUCAAACUUGCUCUUAUUCACUUUAUUCAUGCAUUUCUCCUCUUGUUUUAUAUCAUUCUCCAAAAAAAAAUAUUUUAGUGCUCUAAUUCCCUGCAUAAUUGUCACUAAAUUGCAUGUAAGCAUAUGAGAGACAGCUGCAUAUGAAAAUUCACAAUAUAUCAAUGUGAAGUUGUCAUAAGGAAAAUGAGAGGAUCAGCUUCGAAGAAAACAACACAGCAACAACAGAUUCUCCAUCGUCUCUGAGAGCAGUGUUGUGAAUUGUGGUUAUGUGUGUAGUUGUACAAGUGCAGUGUGGACAUACUCACAUAUGCCCCCAUGAGAGCAUGAGUAUGUCACUAUAAGUCACGUCUCUGUUUGUGUCUCUCUGAACAGAAUUACGUAACCCAAACCCCAACAGUAAGAAAUGAUAUACAGAGAGCAACAUUACAGAAGUCAUUAUGGAGAUCGAGCUCAUUCUGCUUCUGAUUCGGAUCCUUAACAUGACUGCAGUUACUUAAAAUAGACUUGUGUGUUGUUGUCCACUCCAGGGAGUCAACAGGAUCCCACUGUAGAUCGGGGCCAAAGAGAAGAGAGGAACUCAGCAGCCAGAUGUGGGACAUUGAAAUCAGUUGUAGGCUGAAUGCCAGGUUGUAGAGCUGUGUGUGUUAAGAGGAUAACUCUGUGCCAGCAAAAAUAAGAACAGUGCUCAGCUUUAUAUGAAGAUAUGUUUGUCUUAUCCUCUCAGUUAUAUCUAUUGCACUUACAGUUUUCUGGGUAUAUUAUUAUUUAAAUGUCUUUUUUUGGCCUCUAAGAAACGACCCAUAAAUACUAACAGAACAACUACAUAUUUAGCAUCAAGCACACUAGCAUUAUUUAAGUGCUAGUUAAAUACGUAAGUUUGCAUUUGAUCCCUCAGUAUGUGUUGUGCACAUAGACUGUAUAAUGAAUGGACGCUGUGUGCCUCCUCGCUGGGUGAAGCCACUCUGAGAACAGCACCCUCUGUUGACAGGCUGCAGUAUAGGUCAUAAAUCCCGCCUCCUCCAGCAAUACUUAUGGAGCUGUGGACAAAUUUUAGAAAUUUAUUACACAGAACAUAAAUGUUUCUCCCCUCUGCUUAUGAUGUUGACAUGUAGUAUCGUAAGACUGGUUUGUGCUCAAGUCCUCUUUUUUUCUGUACAGCUCCAUUUUUAAAAGUUAUUAGGGGGUUCAAGUUUUCUAUGAUUGACACUUGAUACAGCCUAUGGGCAUAUGAAGAUUACAUAGCUCACCCGCUGUUUGAGCCGAGCAUCAUCACAGCGACUCUCAGCAACUGCGCAAUGUUUGUUUCAGGAAGUAGAGAAAAAAUGUGGAAAAACUAAGAGCUUUUCGGCUUCAAAUACUGGCGGAAGGCGGAACCGAGUUGUCCAUAGUUUGUCUAUGAUUGUGCAGUAGCAAGCUGUGACUUUAAACAUAGCUCUCACCCUCCCCAGCUUAGCUUACUUUGCCUUUCCCUGCACAAAAGUUACAUUUGAUGGUUUGUUAUUUGUCUGCAAUAAAUACAAAGGCACUGAGUAAUAGUGUAAUUAAAGAAAACACAGCUGAGCAAGCACAGACUGUAGGAGAUCUGACUCAAACAUCAAUAUGUCUACAGUACAAAAGAAAAAAAAGGGGUGCUUAAGGUAAACUUACAUUCAGUGGGAUUUAUGAAUGAUGAUACCGCUGAUCUCUUGACUGGAGCUAUUGCUGGAUAAGACUGUCAAACUUUACUUAGAUGUAGAUAUGAAUGGAGUGAAACCUACUGGAUGAAAUAAUUAUGGGAGCACUGAGGCACUGGACUAAAACAGAGGAGUAGGAGGAGGAGGAGGGGGAAUAACAGAGCCGAGCAGAGUGGUACUUGUUCUGCCUGAUAUCCUCCUCUGUGACACCUUCUCCCUCCGGGUAUUGUGACAUCCAGAGGACACGUCGAAGCAACUCUUAUCAGCCUCUGCAACGCUCACACACAUACACACACUCACUCAGGUCCCAGCUUGAGGAGAGUAUGCACUGUGAAGGUGUGCAGUGACAGAACUGUUCUGGGAGAUUUAUCCCUCCCCUCACCCCUUCACUUUCAGUCCAGAUGAAUUGCUGUUGUAGUGUUUGACAUUAGUUCGUGUCUCUUUUCCAAUUCCAAUAGACAAUUAAGAAAGAGAGAUAAUGACUUUGAUGUGAGCAGUGUACCAGCCAUGCCGACUUGCAUAUGUGCACGGAAUCAUUAGGAGGCCUCUCUAUCUUCAGACCUCCAGUAAGCCAGAGUCUGUUCAUGGUUCAUUUAGAGAGGGGACUAUUUCUGUCCUGCACAUCAUGCGGAAAGCCCUUCAGUAACAUGUAUGAGGAGGCUUGUCUCACGUGUGGCCGUCAUGUGCUGUGUACGUUUGUAUGACACUUAGAGUACAUGGCACUGUGGGGACUAUAGAUGGUUGAAGCAGAAAGUAAGAUAAACACCAGCAUAGUGUUUAGCAGCCUGCCAUGUGCACAUGUAAGAGGUGGAGACAAGGUGAGAAGUAGGCAUUGUGAUGCUAGGUUUGUUUUGUGAUGGAGGGAUGAUUACAGACACAACAUGAGAGUAGGUUGUUUGAGCGGAUUCCUUUUGAUCCCAUUCAGGAUUCUCAAGAAAUCUCCUCUGAAAGAGACAAACUGCGGGACAUUUAAGUGGUCGGUGCUAUUUUCAUUAUCUGUUGUAAGUCUUUUUCUGCUAUUGUGAGUCGCUUGUUACCGGUUCUCAUUUGAGGCUUUGUGGAGAAAAAGAAAAGCUUGUUGCAACUGUAUCACCUGUGCACUGGAGCCAUGCAUCAAUCUUAAGUGUUGAUGAGUAAAAAAAAAAAAAAAAAAAAUCAAAGACAAAUGCCACAGGACUACGACGGAGUAUAAGAGCCACAUAGAGAGAAAAAAAAAUAAGACUUUGAAAUUAAAGUUGUUAAUUUACAAGAAUAAAGUCAUUACUAAUGAGAAUAAAGUCAUAAUAAAGUAAGUACUUAUAAGAGUAAAAUCGUAAUAAAAUCAUUUCUUAUGAGAAUAAAGUCAUAAUAAAGAAGGCUAAUUUUCUUACGAGAAUAAAAUUAAAAUAAAAUCAUUACUUACAAGAAUAAAGUUGUUAUAAAGUUAGCUAAUUAGGAGAAUAAAGUCAUAAUGAAAUCAUUACUUGUGAGAAUAAAGUCGUAAAAAAGUAGGCUAAUUACUAAUGAGAAUAAAAUCGUGAUAAAAUUGUUACGAGAAUAAAGUCAAAGUCAUAAUAAAGUUAGCUAAUUACUUACGAUAAUAAAGUCGUAAUGAAAUCAUUACUUACGAGAAUAAAGUCGUUAUAAAGUAAGCUAAUUACCUACGAGAAUAAAUUUGCAAUGAAAUCAUUUCUUACGAGAAUAUCGUCGUAGUAAUGUAGGCUAAUUACGAGAAUAAAAUCGUGAUAAAAUUGUUACUUACGAGAACAGAGUCAUAAUAAAGUUAGCUAAUUACGAGAAUAAAAUCGUAAUGAAAUCAUUACUUACGAGAAUAAAGUCGUUAUAAAGUAAGCUUAUUACCUACGAGAAUAAAUUUGCCAUGAAAUCAUUACUUAUGAGAAUAUAGUCGUGAUAAUGUAGGCUAAUUUCUUAAGAGAAUACAUUCGUAAUAAAAACAUUAUGAUAUUUAUGAUAAUACAACUUUAUUAUCGUACAUAAUGAUUUUAUGAUGACGUUAUUCUCGUAGGUAAUUUCUUUAUCACAACUUAAUUCCCAUUUGUAAUGACUUUAUUCUCGUAACUUAACGACUUUAAUCUCGAAGUCUUAAUUUUUUUUUCCUUAAUGUGGCCUCAAUACUCCGUCGUACAGGACUUAAUGGGUUCACUUAAACAGCCAAGACAACCCCAUCUGUGUCCACAGUAUGAUGUUAAGAGAUAAACAUGUUUACAAUCUGAAAAUGUCUUAAAUUAGGGGUUUAUUUUUCUCGAGUCAUCAGUUUUGACCACGUCAAGGUCUUGAGUUGUGCUUGUUAAGCAAGUUAGAGGUACGACUGUAGCCAAGUCAUACUGUUUAUGCCAAGUUGCUAGGCUACAGCUUCCACUCCUCUCUGGAGUUUUUAAAGGUCAGACUUUGUUGCGACAGGCAUCAUAGCUGUUGUUUAAGAAGGUGUCAGAUAUCUUAUCCUGAAGCAAAGGUAACAAUACUCUACUAUUACACGCUUCAAAUCCAGACUCCUGUAGUUAAUAUCCCAUAAACCGAUGCCAAACGCUUACCUAAUAGCUAUGAGUACUUGGCACUUUUUUUCACAUUCACACACUCUGAUUUGCAGAUGUAGGAAAGAUUUGUAACACUAACCAGAUGUGGGUAAUGUGGGUAAAAUAUGUCCAGAUUUCUCCUGCUGGUCAAGGUGGACCCAGAACAAGUUGUACCACAGUUGAAUAUAAAUUUCCCUUAAAAUGUUUAUGAGGAAAUUUGUCAGUUGAUUUCCCAUCGUAGGUUGAGAUUCACUCAUCUCGCUCUUGGGUAACUUUUAAUAUUUAUGUUUUAUAAGAACAGCUACAAGAGGUAUUCCAUCACUAAAAUAGCAGACUUUGCUUUAGUUACACAGUAACAGACAGUGGGAAUUAAAGCUACAGAGAUUAUGUAUGUGGGCCACUAACAGUUUGCAGGAAUUUAUUAUUUAUUUUGGACCUCCAUGAAGCCAGUUGUGGUGUAAUUGUGUGUCUUGAACCAUAAAAAUCAGCUUGUUCAGUUGUUUUUAAGAGUUCAGAUUCUUUCGUUUGGCUUUUAGUCCUAAAGUAGAGUCACACUGUGUAUUAAAGCUUGAUAAUAACCAGUGGAAUGGUAAAAAGACAUUUUUGGUUGAUUCUUUGUCUGUGUUCAGAACUAUGUGUCCAAAUCUAACACCAAUAGAUUCUUUGCUCUCUGUAAAGUGCGGCUAACACAGCUGCAGGGAGCAGAUGUUACACUGUGUCCCAGGGGAAGCACAAGGCCACGCACCAGCUCACCGUGUCCCAGACCUUACACAGACGGGCUGACUUACAGGGUGCAGACUGGACAGGCUUUCUGCCGCAGGGAAGGCAGGGCAGAGAAACCUGCUCAACGCUGACGCUAAUUAACACUGAGUGAAGAUCUGCUACACACUUUAACAUGACAAAAAGGUUGAAUCCUUUUUAUCACAGGCUCAGGUGUUUUACCUUUUUGAAGGUUUAUAUUGCCCCUUUUUUAUUAUGAAUAUUUUUAUUGGUCCUGAUUAUGCAUCCUCUAACUUCUGUCAAUGUUAUGUAAUAAUGUAAUAAUGAAUUGUUGUCAUUUAAUUUUUCUUUCAAUGUGCCCACCCAGCUUUAACAAUUUAGCAUCUUAGAGUUUGUACUUAACAAAGCUGGCAAUAAUUUUUGAACUAACAAGUAACUCAUCUGUUAAGAAACAGACGAUGAGACUUGCUAAGUCUGUACAUACAUUUGUUGUUAAAAAAGACAAACCUUAAGAUUAAAAAAAGGAUGUACAUGCAACUUUAUUCAAGAAAAAAAGACAACCAGGAACUUUUGCCACAGUUUAAACACUCCAAAGUAAUUUCACAUUUGACCUCCUUUGUCUGCUUCCUGUAGGUUUGUUCACUGAAAGCUAAGCACAUUGAUGAAAAUAACCCCUCAUUGCUGCAUGUAUCCAUCUUUCUGUCCUUUUUGUCCUCCUGGUACCGUGUGGUAUCCUGCCCACCAAUCUGUCCUGAUGGGGCUUUCCACUCAGAGCCCAGGUGGAGGGGCUGGCCAGAGGAAUUUCCAAAAUGCGAUUAGUUUCUCUCAUCCACAUGUAGUAGUAUGCACCUCAUGUAGACACCAUGUGGGAAGGCAACCAUCCACACCCACUGGGAACACACCGUAUGUCUAAUCCAUCGCACGCACUAAAUAUAUAUAUUAUCUCCUGAUAUCAAUCAGAUUCUGCCCAAACCAAUGUUGCAGAAGCUUGAGCAGGAUUAUUGAACCAAUUUCAGAGUCUGCACACGCUACACAAAGGUUUGAAAACGCAUCCAUGCUCACUAUACCUAUUUCAUACAUUUUUAUUAGUUAGUGUGACUAUCAUGGAUGCCUGCACCAUAACAUGCCUGCAGCAUCACAGUUCUAGACUGAGGAUUCUUCUUCUUUGUGUCUUAGCUGCCGGUCUUCUUAAGUAGAGGUAAAGGAGUGUCAUAUAACAAGAUUGUCAUUUUGCAAUUACCACUUAUAAUGUGAUUUAGAUAACUUUAGGUGGUUAGCAGAGUAUGAGGUCAGGUUGUGUUUUCAAUUUACCCGUACAAAAGCAGAUAAGCAUUCAGAAUUUGUGCAACCACUUAACGACAACAGGUUAUAUCUCACUGAGCUACAGCUGUGAAAACAAUACCUCAUUCAACAUUGAUUUUGUUUUAAACCUUAAAAACAUUCAAUAUCACAGUCAGUGCUCACAGCAGCUGCCAGGGUUGUUAUUUUGCCUUCGUCAUAGUUAAAAAGAAAAAAAAAAAUCCCCACCGUCUCCCUUUUGGAUGGUUUUCAUUUUAAUUUCCCCUUUAACGACCAGAGAUACAGCCAUUAUUUUUAAUACUAACACUAACUUUUACACAACAUAAUCCUUUAUGUGGCUUUGGAAAGCUCUCCAGGUACAGGCUUUGACAGCAACAGCUUAUUUCACACCAGUAAAAUGGUCUGGCGUAUUUCAAUUUCAAGCUAUUGAUAUGAGCUGUUUGCAAUUACCUCAGACUGUGCAUAACGUGAAUUCUCAGGGUAUUGUGGGGGAUGCAACCACCUGACUUUCUUGGCUCAUUGUAAGUCACGUCAUGCUUCAUAGCACUUAAGGCAGCUAGCGCCCCGCACUCAUGGUCAAUUAUGAUUCCUCUGCUGCGCUAUAGUGUGCUGUUUGGUGGAAAUGCAAGGGUGUUUAUGUUCAAGGGCAAGUCCCCGUAGAGUAAAUGACAACAACAAUCCCCCCCAUCACUCACCACCCCCCACCUUCCCCAUAACUCUUCAUUGAUCCAGAGUGGACCAGUAAACAUUCUUACUGAUUUCUCUGAGCAGGGGACAUUUCCAAAACAUAAUGAAUACUGUGGGGGAUAAUCUGACUUUCCCCAGACGGGAUCCACAUCCAGACAGCCUUCACAGGUGAAACUGUCUAUGGGAGCAUUUCAACCCAAAAAUGUUAUGUACACAUAGCUAUUCACAUCUGUAUACAACAGUGUGAAGACAAAGCAUUGUCUUUAGGAUAUUUGUAAGGAUGACACUAGGGCCCGACUGAUUUAUCAGCGAGCCGAUUAAAUCGGCCAAUUUUAGCCCAUUUGAGACUAAUCGGUAAUCAGCCAAAACAUGCCAAUUUUCAGAAAUAAAAUGUGGAGAAUAAGAUUCAGUUUCACUUCAAAAUGUUCCACCAUUUGAAAAGUUCCCCAACUUAUCCUGUAGAUGGCGCAGCGAUCUCAUGACAAUCUUCAUCCACAAACUACCUCACAGCACAGCAGAGUGACGGAUCUGAAGCAGACAGCUAAGGGACGCACGGAGGAGAGUGGUCCACCUCAACGGUAAAUAAACCAGUUUGUGAAAUACACAAUAAAUCAACAAGUUUCAGUUCAACCCACUUCACCAUGUUCCCCGCUGUGCUGGUCUCAGUCAUGCCAAGUUAACGGUGAAGCACCAUGUAAUAUGCAAGCUAAAGUUAGAGUUAGCCAUCUGCUAUUAGCCUUGCUACACUGUUAGCCGUGCCAGUAAUGGUAGAAUAAACAACAGUACACACGUGAACGAGCUACUUCUCUUACUGAGGCAGAGGUCUUCAGAUAAGACCUGCGGACUGGAAAUGACGUUAAGAGCAGGAGCCUACAGUAUAUCUACAGUAUAUAGUAUACUGUAGAUAUCUACAGUAUAUAGUAUACUGUAGAUAUCUACAGUAUAACAUUUUUUUAUAACUUCAUAAAAAAUUUUAAAAAUCGGCCGAUUUUUCGGUAAUCAGACCCCCCCCCCCCCCCCCCCAUAAUCGGUAAAAGCCCCAAAAAAAUCCAUAUCGGACGGGCCCUAGAUGACACAUCUUGGUUUCUUUCAUAAUAGUAAAAAUUCUGCUAGCAUUUUACCUAACUUUUAUUAUGCAUGCAACAUUCAACUUCAUUUGUAUCAAACUUGUUUUUGUGCUGCACAGCUUCUAGACUCUUUCUUCUCUUCCUUUGAGACUCAUUUCUUACAUUUGACUCAUAACUCUGUCCCUGAAAUGAGACCAUAACACUUGAAAUGCUGCAGCACAUCUCAUAGAGUUCUAAAUAACCUUGGUUGGAGAGGUGGCUUUCUACAAUGGCACAUACUCUGAGCCAUUACCAGCCAUUUGUCCUUCCAGAGCCUCCCUCAACAACAUCUUUUAUUGCCCAGUGACUGUCAGAGAGAUUAACAGUGAAAGGCUCCAAAUCCACAUGAUAGUUACAAACCUCUCCCUUCUACUUUUAAGGGAACAAUAUUCUUCAUUUCAGUGUUAAAUUCAGCCGAUUAUACAACUUGACAACUAAAAAAAAGCACACACAUUUUGCUUCCCAUCCCACACACGCAAUUGC